rnacentral:lncRNA from 1 species
AAAACAAACAAACAAAAAGAUUGAAAAGCUCUGGACUAGAUAAAUGCUCUCCAAGAUUUCUUCCAGCUCCGGAAUUCUCUGACUCUGUGGGAAACGCAGCCUAUCCCCCUGCUCCCAGCAGCUGCGGCUCUGGCAGAAAGACAAGGAAGUUCGUUCUUGGAGCCUCUCCAGGCCUUUCCUGCUGCACUUGGAGUCCUUGUCCCGAGGGGAGGCAGGGACAGAUAAAGCGCCAGUGUGCAGAGUUCUGGGGGAGGGGGAGGAAGACAGGUGCCCUGAAGAUGUGAGCUUUGGAAGAAAGGAAAGAGAAGCGGAUAGAACCAAAGGCCCCAGUUCCUGUCUCUCACCCGUCACUCCACCACCAGGAUAACUGGUCCCGCCUCCUCGGCAGCACUUAGGACAUUCCCACACAGGGCUGGUCACGGUGCCGCCUCACAGCUCCCUGGUGCAUUGUCUUCGCUGCACUACCCCGAUUUGAAAGUAUAUUGUUCAUUUGCGUGUUUAUUAGCCUACUAGAAUGCAAGUUCCACGAGGGCGGUGCCUUGCCUCUCUUCCUCACCCCUAUAUCCCCGGACACAGGACUCAGCACAAGGUGGGAGCUCAAUAAUUGCUUUCAUGCGUAACCUCUACCUCCAAGCAGCGAUAAAGCUCCAAGCACCGAGCCCAUGAAUGAAUGGUAGUCACCUCAGAAGAAACCAGCAGAGUAGACCCAGCGAAACCUUGGAAAUCAAGCAGAACUCGGUCCCAGCUCCCCGCUCGCUUGUGGCUUCAGUCAAGAUUUUCUUUAACCUCUCUGGAGCUGUUUUCUUCCUCUGUAAAACAGGGAACCUAAUCUCUACUUAAAGGCAUGCUAUAGAAGUCAUGGCACACAGCAGCUGGACAGCAAAUCAUCUUUAUCAUGGAAUCAGAGCAAAGGUGGUGAAACAAAGUGUCACAGGGGAGAUUCCCACCGACCACCCAAGCCCCCAGGACCUGGAAAAGCCCAAUGAACAAGUUCAUUUCGCUAGUGGCCUCCAUCUCCUCCCUCCACACACAAGAAAUGACCCAGUCUCCCUUGAACCAAACCUUCUUUUGUUGUCCCAUUAUUUCAGGCAAUCCAGAUCUUCUGGGAAAGGCUUAAUUGCAAGCAACCAAUCAGAUCAUCUUCUGUAACACAGGCAUUUAUGUUUGCUCUGAAUUUAUAUUUUCGUCCACCUAAAAGGUCAUUCUUUUCAAUAAAGAUAAUUUAUUAAAUCUACCGGGAAGUGGGGCUGAAUUUUAAUACUUUGUGAGCCUUUCCAUUUACGUAAAUUCAUGAAUCAGGGCAACAAUCGUCCUUAUGCUGUGUGGCCUAGUUGUGAUUCAGAAAACAUGAGACCCCUCUCUGGCCCUGCACACACACAUAAGGGAUUGAACACAUAUGUUUCAUGCUCUUCACCGUCUUUCUGAUGCCUGCUCCCUCCUCAGUCAGCCGUGGCACCUGGAAUCGUGGUUCCUGAGACCAAGCAUGGUCUUUGGGUGCAGAGACUCAAGCUCGAGUUCAAAUUCUCGCUCUGGUCAUCUUAGCUGACCCCAGGACCUUUGCACUUGCUGUUCUCUCUGCCUAGACACCUUUUCUACAAGAGGCACCUUCUCAACUUAAAUGUCAGCUCCUCAAAGAGGCCUGCCCAAUCCACUCUAAACAUGACCUCCACUGUCCUCACACCUGCCCAUUU